GAAACCUGAAGUUCUGUCAUUGUUCAAGUUUUAAAUAUUAAACGUACCUGUCCUUGGCGUACCUGUCAUCAGCAGGCCUGUCCGUGUGCCCGGCGGGGGAGCUCAUGAUGUCACAGUGAUGUCUCUGACCAGCAUGUGUUCAGCUGCAUUUCACACCAGAGGCUCCCUCUUAUUGGUCGACGCUCACCUGCUCCGUGCAGACAGGUGAGGCAGCAGAACAGCUGUAGAGUGACAGGAAAGGGAGGAGGGGGAGUAUGGAGAUGACACGCAGCAACCGGCCAACAGCUGAAACUGAACCCAGGCCGCAGCUAACGGCUCUGCCUACAUGUAGCACACGCUCCACCUGGUGAGCUGGAGGUCGCUCCAGCAUUAUAUAUACAUUGAUUAAAGACUUAUGCCAUAUCGCCCACCCCUGCAACAAUGUAAAACAAUAUAACGCUUUAAACCAAGGUGGACUGUUCCUUUAAUUCUUUACAUAAACACAAUUAAUCACCUGCUACAGAAAAACACAACGGACCCUUCAGCAGGAGUCGAGGUGAGUCGAGGUGACCUCUGAUCUCCUGUAACUUUACAUCAUCUGGAAAAAAGAAAUGAAUCAACAGGAAGUUCCAAACACAAAACUUUAAUGAUUGUCGUUCACAGAUUCAACAGUUCACGUCAGCUGAUUUUAUCUAAUACUGUUUGUGUUUCGUUGUUAAAUUUGUUUCGAUCAACAGUUUUAAACAGGUCUGAAAAGAGGUGAUCAUUGAUGUCACAAUGCUGCAGGUAACCAGCAGGUGGCAGUCACC